GACUACCUCGCGCGGUGUGUGUACAAACACAAAAGACGUGCAGAGGGGCUUCAGGCUCUCGCCCCAGAUGGCGCCCGCCCCCGGUUUAGUAUCUGCUCCCGGCCCCUCACCCCGCUCGAAAGGAAAGGAUGGAUGCAGCAAGAAUGAGAGUGGACACUACUCUCUGGGCCUAUGGAAGGAAGCCAGCUUCAGCUGCUAUAAAACAGUUCAGAACCAAGGAGUUGGGCCCUUGGAGAGUUGAGGAGAGAAACGGCACUUUAGCAGGGGUUUUUAAUUCAAGAAAAAAAAACAAAAAACCUUUUGGAAGUACAAUUGGAACCAUAUGCCAUUUUGAUGAGAAUUUUCAGAACUAAAAACAC